rnacentral:rRNA from 1 species
GUGGGGAAUAUUGCACAAUGGGGGAAACCCUGAUGCAGCGACGCCGCGUGAGUGAAGAAGUAUUUCGGUAUGUAAAGCUCUAUCAGCAGGGAAGAAAAUGACGGUACCUGACUAAGAAGCCCCGGCUAACUACGUGCCAGCAGCCGCGGUAAUACGUAGGGGGCAAGCGUUAUCCGGAUUUACUGGGUGUAAAGGGAGCGUAGGUGGUAGUGCAAGUCAGAAGUGAAAACCCAAGGCUUAACCAUGGGAUUGCUUUUGAAACUGCAUAACUAGAGUGCUGGAGAGGUAAGUGGAAUUCCUAGUGUAGCGGUGAAAUGCGUAGAUAUUAGGAGGAACACCGGUGGCGAAGGCGGCUUACUGGACAGUAACUGACACUGAGGCUCGAAAGCGUGGGGAGCAAACAGGAUUAGAAACCCCUGUAGUCC